rnacentral:tRNA from 1 species
GGCGCGUCGGUCCAGAAGGACAGGACGCCGGAGGUUCGCUCCGGCGGCCGCGGGUUCGGCUCCCGCGCGCGCCAC